UACGUAGGGUGCGAGCGUUGUCCGGAAUUAUUGGGCGUAAAGAGCUCGUAGGCGGUCUGUCGCGUCUGCUGUGAAAACUCAGGGCUUAACCCUGAGCUUGCAGUGGGUACGGGCAGACUAGAGUGCGGUAGGGGAGACUAGAAUUCCUGGUGUAGCGGUGAAAUGCGCAGAUAUCAGGAGGAACACCGGUGGCGAAGGCGGGUCUCUGGGCCGUAACUGACGCUGAGGAGCGAAAGCAUGGGGAGCGAACAGG
rnacentral:rRNA from 1 species